CCUACGGGAGGCAGCAGUGAGGAAUAUUGGUCAAUGGCCGGAAGGCUGAACCAGCCAUGCCGCGUGAAGGUCAGUGCCCUAUGGGCGUUAAACUUCUUUUGUGCGGGAGCAAUAAUGGUCACGUGUGGCCAGACGAGAGUACCGUACGAAUAAGCAUCGGCUAACUCCGUGCCAGCAGCCGCGGGAAGACGGGGGAUGCAAGCGUUAUCCGGAGUUAUUGGGGUUCAAGGGUGCGUAGGCUGUGAGGUAAGUCAGCGGUGAAAUGCCCCCGCUCAACGGGGUGAAGUGCCAUUGAUACUGCCUUGCUGGAAUGCGGAUGCCGUGGGAGGAAUGUGUGGUGUAGCGGUGAAAUGCAUAGAUAUCACACAGAACACCGAUUGCGAAGGCAUCUCACGAAUCCGCGAUUGACGCUGAUGCACGAAAGCGUGGGUAUCAAACAGGAUUAGAUACCCGAGUAGUC
rnacentral:rRNA from 1 species